rnacentral:rRNA from 1 species
UACGUAGGGUGCAAGCGUUGUCCGGAAUUAUUGGGCGUAAAGAGCGUGUAGGCGGCCAUACAGGUCAGCUGUGAAAACUCGAGGCUCAACCUCGAGACGUCGGUUGAAACCGUAUGGCUAGAGUCCGGAAGAGGAGAGUGGAAUUCCCGGUGUAGCGGUGAAAUGCGCAGAUAUCGGGAAGAACACCCGUGGCGAAGGCGGCUCUCUGGGACGCUACUGACGCUGAGACGCGAAAGCGGUGGGGAGCGAACAGG